GAUGAACGCUGACAGAAUGCUUAACACAUGCAAGUCAACUGUGGCGGACGGGUGAGUAACGCGUAAAGAACUUGCCUCAUAGUUAGGGACAACAUUUGGAAACGAAUGCUAAUACCUGAUACUGUGAGAGAGAUUUGCGUCCCAUUAGCUAGUUGGAGUGGUAACGGCUCACCAAGGCGAUGAUGGGUGGCCGGCCUGAGAGGGUGGUCGGCCACAAGGGGACGGAGACACGGCGCUUACUCCUGCGGGAGGCAGCAGUGAGGAAUAUGGGACAAUAGACGAAAGGCUGAUCCAGCAAUUCUGUGUGCACGAUGAAGUUUUCGGAAUGUAAAGUGCUUUCAGUUGGGAAGCGGUACCAACAGAAGAAGUGACGGCUAAAUACGUGCCAGCAGCCGCGGUAAUUC
rnacentral:rRNA from 1 species